AGCUCCAAUAGCGUAUAUUAAAGUUGUUGUGGUUAAAAAGCUCGUAGUUGGAUCUCAACAGCCUUGAAGCGGUUAACUUUGUAGUUUUACUGCUUUAUAGGCUGUGCUUUUGCUGGAGGUUUAGGGGUGCUCUUGAUCGAGUGUCUCUGGAUGCCAGCAGGUUUACUUUGAAAAAAUUAGAGUGCUCAAAGCAGGCUAAAAUGCCUGAAUAUUCGUGCAUGGAAUAAUAGAAAAGGAUGUCGGUCCUAAUUUGGUUGGUUUCGGGGCCUGACAAAAUUGAAAAUAGGGACAGUCGGGGGCAUUUGUAUUCAAACGACAGAGGUGAAAUUCUUGGACCGUUUGAAGACAAACUACUGCGAAAGCAUUUGCCAAGAAUGUUUUCA
rnacentral:rRNA from 1 species